rnacentral:rRNA from 1 species
UACGGAGGGUGCAACCGUUGCUCGGAAUCAUUGGGCGUAAAGCGCACGUAGGCGGCCGACUAAGUCGGGUGUGAAAGCCCCGGGCUCAACCCGGGAAGUGCACUCGAAACUGGCCGGCUUGAAUAUGGAAGAGGGUCGCGGAAUUCCCGGUGUAGAGGUGAAAUUCGUAGAUAUCGGGAGGAACACCAGUGGCGAAGGCGGCGACCUGGGCCAAUAUUGACGCUGAGGUGCGAAAGCGUGGGGAGCAAACAGG